ACGUAGGGGGCAAGCGUUGUCCGGAUUUAUUGGGCGUAAAGAGCGUGUAGGCGGCCAGGUAGGUCGGUUGUGAAAACUAGAGGCUUAACCUCUAGACGUCGACCGAAACCAUCUGGCUAGAGUCCGGAAGAGGAGAGUGGAAUUCCUGGUGUAGCGGUGAAAUGCGCAGAUAUCAGGAAGAACACCCGUGGCGAAAGCGGCUCUCUGGGACGGUACUGACGCUGAGACGCGAAAGCGUGGGGAGCGAACAGGA
rnacentral:rRNA from 1 species